CUAGUAGGAAAAGUCUUGGCAUUUAGGAAGGGGGCCUUUUGAAGCAUGAUGCCUCAGUAAGAUAAAAACAGAGCCCCCCUUUCCCAUCCCCAUGCCCGCUCAGGGGCAAAAUAUUUCAGACAAUGCUUCUCACCAGUAAGCAUACCUUACUGUGGGCUGAGUGCCCCCGGGGCCUGGUCAGUCCUGGGCUGCCCCUGACUAGCACAGCUCAUCGGUUCUUUGAGGAAGAAGCCGCCUCACUCCUGCACAUCCCUGAGAGUGCACAUUCCAGCCACAGGCCUGGGUGCCCUCCUCUGAGGUCCUCCUCUGACCCAAGCCAGGCUCCGAGGGAGAUGGAAAACACACUGGACGCUGCAAGAUUGGCAGGGACACUGCUCGGCUGCCUCUAGCUCCUGCCCCUACCUUGCUCCUCCUUCAGGGAAACAGAUCAGGUUGAAGUGUUCAAAGGCAGGCUGCCGCCUUGGGAGGCCGUCCAUAGUGGCCAUGACACCACCCUGGCAGGGCUGCUGGGCUCCAAGGUCACUGGUCAGUCUGCCCAGAGCCUGCCGGACCUCAGGCAUGUGACCCAACAACUCCAUUGUGUCUGAGGGCAUCUGAUGAAAUAAGCUGAACAAGAUGGGGAGAAAGGGAAAGAAACAGGCUAAGACGCUGGCCCUGGCUCUACAGCCAACACAGAAGUUAGUCCAUCCCUCUGGGCCCUGCAGGGUGAGAUGCUCCAUGAUUUGGGAUGGAAGUAGGACAGCUCCCGUCACCCCUUGUAUGACAGUGGACACUCAGACUCUCAGGGAAGAAAAACCUGGGGUAGGGGUGGUCAGAGUAGCAGGGGCACACUUUGGACAGACAGAGGUGAGAGAAGACGGCACCCCAGGGGGGUUCUGCCUGCAAAGGUGGGGAGGCAGGACUAGAAAAACAUUUUCAGAAGAACAGCAAACAAGUGGUUUGCUGUUGGUUCCACUUGGAUGGAACCAAGAGUGGGUCAAGACCCUGUAUGAUUUGAGGCUGGCUAAGUGGUGAAGAUCUGGUCAUGAAGUGGCUUUGAUCACCAGAAACCACAGCUCCAGAAGAUGGAAGAAGUGUUCCUGGGCGGGAGAUUUGUACCCUCCCCCAAAAUACCAUCAGACCAAGAGCCCUAGGGGAGGAGAGAGACCUGGGAAUUUGGGCACUGUUGACUCUGAGAUGUCAAAUAUGAGACUGGGGGGUUAGGAAGCCCGAGGGCUGCAGUCAUCAUCUUUGAGAUUUGAAGAGCUUUCUGGGGAUCAGGAAUUUGUUCUUUGCAGCCUGAAAACACAGGGCAUGCAGCCCCAGAGAGGCAAGUAUCUGCAGGAUAUUAGGAAGAAGUCUUCAACAGUCUGUCCACAGAGAGAUGAGGUGAUUGGGAAGCAGUGACCUUCCUGUCACCAGAGAGGUAUGUGAGCUUAGCAGGGACACUCUAGAACUCAGCAUUAGAGGAGGUUGGACCUCAUGGCUGUCACAGGAGGCUGGGAGAGGAAAGCAAGCAUCCUUGUUGGGCAGAAUCACAGGAAGACCAGGGUGGAGAGAUGGGGCUGCAGA
ensembl:lncRNA